CCUGCCCCUAGAAAUAUUGGAGGUGUGGCUGUUGUCUCACAAAUACAUCAGUGGCUGGCAGAGAGGAGAGAGGAUUUGCCUACAUACAAUGAUCUGACCUAUGAACGUCUGAAUAAUUAGAAGUCUAACAUU
rnacentral:snoRNA from 1 species